rnacentral:rRNA from 1 species
GUGGCGGACGGGUGAGUAACGCGUGGGUAACCUGCCUUGUACUGGGGGACAACAGUUAGAAAUGACUGCUAAUACCGCAUAAGCGCACAGUAUCGCAUGAUACAGUGUGAAAAACUCCGGUGGUACAAGAUGGACCCGCGUCUGAUUAGCUAGUUGGUAAGGUAACGGCUUACCAAGGCGACGAUCAGUAGCCGACCUGAGAGGGUGACCGGCCACAUUGGGACUGAGACACGGCCCAAACUCCUACGGGAGGCAGCAGUGGGGAAUAUUGCACAAUGGGCGAAAGCCUGAUGCAGCGACGCCGCGUGAGUGAAGAAGUAUUUCGGUAUGUAAAGCUCUAUCAGCAGGGAAGAAAAUGACGGUACCUGACUAAGAAGCCCCGGCUAACUACGUGCCAGCAGCCGCGGUAAUACGUAGGGGGCAAGCGUUAUCCGGAUUUACUGGGUGUAAAGGGAGCGUAGACGGUAAAGCAAGUCUGAAGUGAAAGCCCGCGGCUCAACUGCGGGACUGCUUUGGAAACUGUUUAACUGGAGUGUCGGAGAGGUAAGUGGAAUUCCU